rnacentral:lncRNA from 1 species
UCUCUUUCUCUCUUUACUCACGCUCUACGCUGCCGGAACCGCCACCGCCACCGCCACGUCCGCCACUCUCGACGUCGCGUCCUCUGUCCAGAAAACUCUCGACCUCCUGAACCCCACUUUACUCCAACAACAAUUAGAAAAAACCACACCUGAAUCGACAUCUUCUUCGUUGUCUUUCACCCUCCACCCUCGAUCCUCCAUCCACCAUACCCACCACCACCACCAUGAUUACGAAUCUCUAACCCUCUCAAGACUCGCUCGCGACACGCACCGAGUCACCUCGCUCACGACGAAGCUCAAUUUCGCACUCGCCGGAACCAAUAAGUCGGAGUUGAAACCGGUUGUUCAAACUGACUCGAUGUUGCAACCGGAGGAUUUCUCUACUCCGGUUUCCUCCGGGAUAUCUCAG